AACGAACGCUGGCGGCAUGCCUAACACAUGCAAGUCGAACGAGACCUUCGGGUCUGGUGGCGAACGGGUGCGUAAAGCGUGGGAACAUGCCCUUGGGUUCUGAAUAACUCCCCGAAAGGGGUUCUAAUACCGGGUGAUGUCUUCGGACCAAAGAUUUAUCGCCUUUGGGUGGGCCGGCGUUGGUUUAGCUUGUGGGUAGGGCUAAAGCCUACCAAGGCGACGAGCCGUGGCUGGUCUGAGAGGAUGAUCAGCCACACUGGGACUGGGACACGGCCCAGACUCCUACGGGAGGCAGCAGUUGGGAAUAUUGGACAAUGGGCGAAAGCCUGAUCCAGCAAGGCCGGGUGAGUGAUGAAGGCCUUAGGGUUGUAAAGCUCUUUUACCCGGGAUGAUAAUGACAGUACCGGGAGAAUAAGCUCCGGCUAACUCCGUG
rnacentral:rRNA from 1 species